GGACUGUGAAUGGGAAGCCAUUAAAAUCUGUGAUGAAAGGCGUACUAUGAUGAAAAGCUGAUGGGAAGCGACAUCCCAGACCUAACAAAGAUGAGCUGGUGUUGGCCGGGACACUCAUUGUUGAGAAGAAAUCAAACGGUCUGAUUGCUGGACUUGAGGUUUAACAUUUGUUGGACACGAGGUGGUCACUGAUGUCUCGCUGGCAUGCACCAGGUUCUCGUCAUCAAAGUCGUCCCAUUCAUCUCCAAGGUCAAAGCUGACGGUCGGUAUGUGUGAG